rnacentral:rRNA from 1 species
GACGAACGCUGGCGGCGUGCCUAAUACAUGCAAGUAGAACGCACAGUUUAUACCGUAGCUUGCUACACCAUAGACUGUGAGUUGCGAACGGGUGAGUAACGCGUAGGUAACCUGCCUGGUAGCGGGGGAUAACUAUGGGAAACGAUAGCUAAUACCGCAUAAUAUUGAUUAUUGCAUGAUAAUUAAUUGAAAGGUGCAAUUGCACCACUACCAGAUGGCCCUGCGUUGUAUUAGCUAGUAGGCGAGGUAACGGCGCACCUAGGCGACGAUACAUAGCCGACCUGAGAGGGUGAUCGGCCGCACUGGGACUGUGACACGGCCCAGUCUCCUACGGGAGGCAGCAGUAGGGAAUCUUCGGCAAUGGGCGAAAGUCUGACCGAGCAACGCCGCGGGAGUGAAGAAGGUUUUCGGGUCGUAAAGCUCUGUUGUAAGGGAAGAACGGGUGUGAGAGUGGAAAGUUCACACUGUGACGGUAUCUUACCAGAAAGGAACGGCUAACUACGUG